GUGAGCGUAGUUCAGUUGGUUAGAACAUCAGAUUGUGAUUCUGAGGGUCGCGGGUUCGAGUCCCGUCGCCCACCCCA
rnacentral:tRNA from 1 species